GGCCCUAGCACAGGUGCUGCAUGGCCGUCGUCAGCUCGUGCCGUGAGGUGUUGGGUUAAGUCCCGCAACGAGCGCAACCCCCGCCGUUAGUUGCCAGCGGUUCGGCCGGGCACUCUAACGGGACUGCCCGCGAAAGCGGGAGGAAGGAGGGGACGACGUCUGGUCAGCAUGGCCCUUACGGCCUGGGCGACACACGUGCUACAAUGCCCACUACAAAGCGAUGCCACCCGGCAACGGGGAGCUAAUCGCAAAAAAGGUGGGCCCAGUUCGGAUUGGGGUCUGCAACCCGACCCCAUGAAGCCGGAAUCGCUAGUAAUCGCGGAUCAGCCAUGCCGCGGUGAAUACGUUCCCGGGCCUU
rnacentral:rRNA from 1 species